rnacentral:lncRNA from 1 species
AGAAGAAGAACUCUUGCAAAAGACCUAGUCCUUACUAUACUUAUCUAGGGUUUGGAUUUGCAUGUGUGUGUGAUUAUGGUGGACAAGUGAGAGGCGCACUAUCCCAGAAUCCAGAUACAGAGAGGCAGGUAAACAUGGGAUUCUGCACAUUACAAGGUCUUUUGUCUAAGUUUCUGAUGCCUUCUUUCUGGGGGAAUUUGAAUUUCAAAUUCAUGCCCCUCCUCCUUUACUACAAUCAAACUAGUAAUUUUGAAAUUCUCCAAAUUCUUGUAGUCUAGAUGUAAUAAUAUUGGAGGCUCGUAUCAUGAAUAACACAUGAAUUUG